rnacentral:rRNA from 1 species
UACAGAGGUCCCGAGCGUUGUUCGGAUUCACUGGGCGUAAAGGGUGCGUAGGUGGUUGUGCAAGUCUGAUGUGAAAUCUCCGGGCUUAACCCGGAAAUGGCAUUGGAAACUGCAUGGCUAGAGGUCGGAGGGGGAACUGGAAUGCUCGGUGUAGCAGUGAAAUGCGUAGAGAUCGAGCGGAACACCAGUGGCGAAGGCGAGUUCCUGGACAAGACCUGACGCUGAGGCACGAAAGCCAGGGGAGCAAACAGG